UGAUAGAUCAUUAUUGGAUUCUUUUUAUUGUGACCAAGAUCCAUGAAAUAGCUCUCUUUAUACUACGUUAUAACUAGCGGAUACUUCCCAUUCUUAUGUCUUCUUUCCUUAUUACGACUCCUGUGCUUAGAUAAAAUACGACGUUUGAGUUUGGACAUAGCCAAUUGCUACUUACGGUGCUAGGCCUUUUCAAGCAAUGGAAGGCAGACUUGAAUGCCAAUCAGACAUGGCCAGAAGCUUAGAUAAUAUCACUAGUUUCUCUUGUUUAUCAC
rnacentral:lncRNA from 1 species